AUUAUCGUAGAUUCUUAAGAUUGAUCUGCUGUACAGAUUAAUUAAUUAAAGCCUUUUUUUAUAUAUAUUUCUCCGGUAAACGGUUUGCUCUUUGUGAUUUUCUUUAAUAAAUUUAAUUUAUUUUAUCAUUAGAUGUUUCAUGCUUGCAGCGCAUACAUAAUCUUUUCAUACCAUUUGAUUUCUUUGGAAUAUGUUAUUAUAAUUUAUAAGUGUAUAAUUUUUAGAUAUAUAAACUUUCAUGUCUAAAUUUAAAAUCAAAAAUAAAAAAUUUGACUCUCGAUCCAAACCGCAUGACAAAGUAAUAUGAUCAGAAAUAGAGUUCUACAAUAAAAACUAGAGUUGUCAAUAUGGGCUAGCCUACCCCAUCCGGGCUAAUCCAUAUAGGCUUUGACAUUUUAUGGGUCAGGCUAGGCUAGUAUAUUUAUUAAGUUUUUUUUCAAGUAUAAGUAUAAAUAUCUAAAUAGAAAUAUUAACCUAACUGUUUUGCAAUGAUCACAAUAAAACACAAAAAAUAUGACAAUAUUCCAACCAUAAAAAUGUCAAAAAUAAACUCCUUAAAAAAUCAUGAAACUAAUGGCGUAUCUAAUACUUCAUGAAACCUAUGGCGUAUCUAACACUUCAUGAUUAUCUUCAUCAAGCAUAUCUGAAUCAACUUGUGAGAAGGUUGUCUCAACAUCUUCAUUUUCAUAUGCAAUUUAUAUGCGGUUUCAAUUAGUAAAAUAUUAAAAAAAUAACUAAAUUGAGAAUUAUAAUAUUUAAAUGUACACAAAAAUAUAUUACCAGUUUGAGAAAAACCAAGUAACCAGUUUCGAGUAGCAACAAGUGUUUGGACAUUUUCAUGGUGGAUGCAACUUCUAUACUUAGUGAAUUUCCUAAAAAACUUUAAAUAGAUUUUGAGUUUGGAUCUCUUUAAUUUUAAAUUUAAUAUUAUAUUACAUUUUUUAAUUAAUUUGUAUUAGCCGACGGGCCGGCCCUACCUAUAUUUCUCAAGCCCCACAAAUCAGCAGGCUUACUCAGGCCGGGCUAAAAAGUCCUUUUUUAAAAUGGGCUCCAAUUUUUUUAGCCCAGCCCUAUUAAAUCCCGGGUUAGGCCAGGUCGCCCCAACAGACCUAGCCCAUAUUGACGGCUCUAAUAAAAACCAACCGUGGAAAUUACAAAUUGAGUUCUUUUCAUGUGGAAUUCAAUAGUUUAGAAUAUAUAUUAUGAAAAGGGGUUUAAAAUAUAAUUUAAGUAAACAGAAGAGCUUUUGGCCAAAAACAUGUAUAAAUUAUAUCCAAUUUAAAUUACAUUCUUAAAUUAUUAUUUUUAACAAAAAGCAUCCGUCAAUUAUUUAAAAUUUGAUAACUUUCAUCAUUUUGUUCAAAUUUGUCAAAAAUUAACAAAUUCUUCACAAAAACAUGUACGAUUCACACUACUCUCAACAAAACUCCUUAAAUCACCCCAAUAAACCUAUUAUGUUCAUUCUACAUACAUCAAAAAUAAUAUUGUGAAUUUUUUUAGCAAUAACGUUUUAAAUUGUCUUCCUUUUAAUUAGCAAUUUUGUUUUUAUUUACUUUUCAUUUGAUUUAAUAUCAAAGAAUUAUCAGUUGAAAUGUUUUCUUCUCACUGAAUCUGUAAAAAGUGGUGUCGAUCGGAUAUUUUUACUUCUAAUAAUGAAAAACGAAACCCAUGUACUAUAGAUCAAAAUCAGCUAAAUCUUGAUCACCUCAACUAUCAAUUUGCCCCAGAAAAUUUGAUAUUUUGACUUUGCAAGGUGAAGAUGGUAUGAAAUUAAACUCCAACUCCACUCAGUUGGUAAAGGAGAAGAGCAGAUCAUGUCUCCUCGUAGACUCACACCGUUCUAACAUUGUUUUUUUUAACAGCAAACAAGAGUUUCAAAAUAAAAAAAAAUAAAAAAAUUGGAUGCUUUUUCAUACAUGUAAUAAAUUAUAGAUUUUUUUUUUUGAGUGUAGUAUGAAUUGCAUAUGUUUUUGUGUGGAAUUCGCUAAUUUUUUGACAAAAUUUUAUAGAGGGAUAAAAGUUGUUAAGUUUUAAAUAUUUGGAGGAUAUUUUUUUGUUAAGAAGGAUAAUUUAAGAAUGUAGUUUAAGUUGGGGUAUAGUUUAAGGAUGUUUUUAGCCAAAAACUCUAAACAAAAUUUUAUUUUAUUAAUUUUUAUUCUUCUUUAAUAAUUAUUUAACUCAUUAUUUGAUUGAGUCAAAAUUGUCCUUAUUUUACACAAAAUUUAACCGGUGACUAAUAAGAACAUAUUUGAACUGACAUGCAUAUAUUAAGGUAUGUUCAUUCCAAUUUACUUUCUAACUAAAUAUAUGUAAUUACUUGUGUAUCUCUAUUAUUGAUUGAUAAAAGUUUUUUUAAUUUUUACCCUUUUUUUUCUUGUAUCUAAUUUUAUAUAUGGAAGUGGGAAUUAGGAGCCAAUAGUGGACAAAGUAAAGAUGACUAGAAGUUUAUUCUUCCAAGUUGUUGAUCCCGUUGUACUAGUUUUAAAAGAUUAUUGUUUUUUAAACUAACCUAAACAAGUUUAUUAAUUCUACUAAUUAAUUGAAAUAUAUAUUUUUAAAAAACUUUACUUUUGAGUUUUGUGUGUAUAUUUAAGUUGUCUUUGUCUCAGUAGUUGUUUCAGUACUAUAGCAUGAGAAGAAGAAUAAAAGAUAGUUGAAAAAGUAGAAGGAAUCUAUAUAUUUUUUUUCAUUUUCAAGUCUUACUAAUCAACAUAUGGUAACCAAUUAGUUUUGAAGACUCUAUUAGUGUGAGGGAUAAGAAUAGAUAAUUGUAGGAUAAAAAAAGUAGUCCUGAAAUAAUAUUUUGAUUUCUUGUUUGGUUGUCAUGUUUGAAAUAAUUUAUUACCCAUUUAUACAUAGUGAUGGAAUAAAUUAUCUCAUAUAUAUGAUGGGAUAAGUUAUCUCAGAAUAACUAAUCCAAGACAAUUAAUCUUGGAUAACCUGUUCCCAACCAAACGAAACUUUAAUACUUAAUGAACCACUCUUCGUAUACUCUUCCACUACCAUUCUAUUACCUCAAAUCGUAACACUUAGGACUUUGAAAAUCUGUUUAUUUUGAAUAAUAUUUUUUCUAAUGAAAAUGCUUUCACAAAAAGUAUUUUGAAGAGUAGCAUAUUAUGUCUGAUUAAUAUAUUUUAAAAACACUUUUAUCAAUAGAACAAUACUUUGUGCUUGAUUUAUGCCUCAAAAGUGCUCUCGAGUAUUUUUUUAUUUUUCUAGAAACGUGAUCACAUUACACAGAAAAUAAUCCAAACAUAAUUAUGGAAUUUCUUAAACGGUGAAUGCAUAUGUGAAAUUGCAAUGUAUAUUUCUAAGAAACGCUAAUGAAAUUACCUAAACGUAAAAUUUUUAGUUAUAAAUAAUUAAAGUGAUUAUUGACACGAGGGUAAGCACGUGGUUUGACUGUUUGACUAAUUAACCUCACGUAAUGUAACAAAAUAUUCUGCCAAUAAUGUUGGGAGAUUUUCUAUGAAUUUUCUGUCCGGAAAUAAGGAAAAAAGGUAAAAAUAGCGAGAUUUUACUUAAUUAUAAAAGAUAUAGUGGUAUUUUGAUUUUAGAAUAUAUCAAAAUAUAUUGAGUUUGUGCACAUAAAUGUGUAUUUAUUGUAGCAGGAGUGUUAUACUUUAUUCAUGUGCAUAAUAAUACUGAAAAUACAUUAAAUUCUACACUUAAUAUACGUAUCCAUGCGUAUACAAUGUCUUUGUCUAACUAUAUCCGUGUGAAUAUCAAGUGUAUCCAUGCAUAUCUGAUAUAAAACUUCAAACUAUUACUAUGUUAUUUAAUUUUUUUAAAAUUACUACUAUUUCAGAUAAAUAUAGGAUUUUAAUUUCCCACUGUUCGGUAAUUUUUCCAUAUAGAUAUAAUACUGGGGCUUCAUUUCCUUUUUACAGUUAUGGAGUGAAGUAAAAGGCCUCGGCCUUGUGAAGUUUUUUUAGGCCCAUGACCAUGAGGCUUAUAUUGUGAAGAUCUAAAACUGAUUUCAACCAGCCAUCUUAUCCCUAACUUUGUGAUUUAUAUCUGGAUCAUUUAUGUAACGAUAAGGUUAUAUGUGAGUCACCUAUAUAUCGGGGAUGUAUAUCAGAUCUAAAUCGCAUAACUGGGGUAUAUAGGCCCUUGUCCCUAAAAAAAAAAAGAAUUGUCAACUGAGUUGGACACUAAAAUGAUAAGAUAAAAUAAUCUCAUAAAAUUUCUUGAAAUUAUUAUUUUUAUCCCACCAAUCAAACGAUUCUAAAAUUUGUCUUAGCCCAACAUUUUUGUCCUCAAAAGUCAAAUUUUCAAAUCAGUAACUUCAUUUGGUGUAGAAGCAUAAUUUCAACACAGCAAAAUGUCUUCUCAAUUUCUUAUCACUUUACCUUGAUUAUAACAUGGAUCGUUUUAAGUCGUCAAUUAUUUAUUCAAAAAAAAAUAUUUAAAGUAUGUAGCAGUAAGUGUUGAUUAAAGAGACGUAGUGGGAUGGGUGCUUUAAUUUCUUUAAUGGAAUAAUAUAAUCAUAAUAAUAAUAACGUGGAUGUACCAUGUUUUAUAUUUGAAUAAAAUCUGUUGACUCAUCGAGUCUUUGUCUUUAUUUUUUUCCCGAGAAUAUCGGUCAUUUGUUAAUAUUGAAGAAAAAUAAAAAAAAUAAAAAGAAGUGCGACCACUGAAAAAUAAUAAAACAAGCCCGAAUUAAAGGAGCGUAAAGUUCAAUCGAGUAGAAAUAUAAACAAUUGAACAUGUAUUUUGAUAAUAAAUUAUAAGUACAAAAUACUCUAUCGAUUAAUCGUUAAAUAUUGAUAUUUGAUUUGACAUACUUCUUAAAAAAUAAUAAGUAAAGUCCCCACUAUAUACAUAUAUAGACUUAGUCAAUGACACACGUCCUUGGGGCCAAUGAACCUUACUACGGGUCGACAACCAGACAACGUGUGCAUGCAUCACUUCUAACACAAACUUUGAACCCAACACGAUGUGCGGGGCAUACUAGACACAACACAACAUGCGUUGCUCUUCCGAUCAUUGAAUCUUACCUCUAAAUUGAGCCAUUUUCAAAGUGGACAAGCUACUAAACAUAAAAGACAACUCUUUCCUAGGCUCUCAUUGAUGUCUCCGAACUUCUUGAUUUUGAACUGAUUUUCUUUUGGAGUAUGAACAAAAUACACUUUUUAUAGGGAUUCCAUCGAUUCUUAUUAUCAACUAAUAUGUGCAAUUGUCG
rnacentral:lncRNA from 1 species